rnacentral:pre_miRNA from 14 species
GUUCAAAUCUUCAGCUCCCACAUAAGAGUCAGCUUACAAAUGAAAGACCCCCAGAGUGGGGAGACCCUCUCUCAAGUCUCGGGAUGACACGACCCCCCAAGAACUCACACAAGACC